UCCCUUCAAAAAGCACUCGUUGGGUCUUUUUUCUAGUGGCCCAGGGAGUUGUCGUGGAAGGGUAAAGAAAUAGCAUUACUCUUGGGUGAGGUGACGGCUUGUGCUGUUAUGCCUCAAUCGGUGAUGCCACAAAA